rnacentral:rRNA from 1 species
CCUACGGGUGGCAGCAGUAGGGAAUCUUCGGCAAUGGACGAAAGUCUGACCGAGCAACGCCGCGUGAGUGAAGAAGGUUUUCGGAUCGUAAAACUCUGUUGUUAGAGAAGAACAAGGACGUUAGUAACUGAACGUCCCCUGACGGCAUCUAACCAGACAGCCACGGCUAACUACGUGCCAGCAGCCGCGGUAAUAAGUAGGUGGCAAGCGUUGUACGGAUUGUUUGGGAGGAAAGGUAGCGCAGGAGGUAUCUUAAGUCUGAUGUGAAAGCCCCCGGCUCAACCGGGGAGGGUCAUGGGAAACUGGGUUGCUUGAGUGCAGGAGAGGAGAGUGGAAUUCCUGGUGUAGCGGUGAAAUGCUUAGAUAUAUCGAGGAACACCAGUGGCGAAGGCAGCUCACUGGACUGUAACUGACGCUGAGGCUCGAAAGCGUGGGUAGCAAACAGGAUUAGAUACCCCUGUAGUC